UUGAGAGUUUGAUCCUGGCUCAGGGAGAACGUUGGCGGCGUGGAUAAGGCAUGCAAGUCGUGCGAUCUAAGAUAGUCUUUUGACUAUCUUAGAUAAGCGGCAAACGGGGCAGUAACACGUACCUAACUUACCCUAGAUCCGGGCAUAACUCUGGGAAACCAGAGCUAAUUCCCGAUGGUCCUUCAAAAAGUCUCUGGACUUUUUGAAGGUAAAGGCUCUUUUGAGCCGAUCUAGGAUAGGGGUGCGGCUGAUCAGCUAGUUGGUGAGGUAACGGCUCACCAAGGCUAUGACCAGUAGGGGGCCUGAGAGGGUGUCCCCCGCCAAGGGCACUGAGACACGGGCCCUACUCCUACGGGAGGCAGCAGCCGAGAAUCUUGGGCAAUGGGCGAAAGCCUGACCCAGUGACGCCGCGUGCCAGAAGAAGCCCUUCGGGGUGUAAAUGGCUUUUAUGGGGGAUGAAACCUGUUCUUUUAAGGACAGGUUGACAGUACCCCAUGAAUAAGGGACGACUAACUUCGUGCCAGCAGUCGCGGUAAUACGAAGGUCCCAAACGUUUCCCGGAUUUACUGGGCGUAAAGGGCAAACAGGUGGAUCUUAAAGUCUCUUGUCAAAUCCUUCGGCUCAACCGAAGAAAGGCAAGAGAUACUUAAGAUCUAGAGAGCUGCAGGGGCUGGUAGAACGGAUGGUGGAGGGGUGAAAUCCGAUGAUAUCAUCCGGAAUGCCGAAAGCGAAGGCAGCCAGCUAGGCAGCUUCUGACACUGAUUUUGCGAAAGCCAGGGGCGCAAAAAGGAUUAGAUACCCUUGUAGUCCUGGCCCUAAACGCUGGAUGCUAGCUUUGGGGAAUUUAAUUUCUCCGAGGCGAAGCUAACGCGUUAAGCAUCCCGCCUGGGUAGUACGGCCGCAAGGCUGAAACUCAAAGGAAUAGACGGAAGGCUGCACAAGCGGUGGAGCAUGUGGUUUAAUUCGAUAGUAACCGAAAACCUUACCCGGGCUUGACAUGCUCGUCUCAAUGCCUUUCUCGAAAGAGAAAGGAAGCACGGUUUCCGUGCGGGCGAGCACAGGUGCUGCAUGGCCGUCGUCAGCUCGUGGUGUGAACCGUAUCCUUAAGUGGCACAACGAGCGCAACCCUCGAGGUGUGUUACAUGUGUCACACCUGACUGCCGGUUUUAAACCGGAGGAAGGAGGGGAUGACGUCAGGUCCGCAUGGCCCUUAUGUCCGGGGCUACACACAUGCUACAAUGGCGGCUACAAAGAGUUGCGAACCCGCGAGGGGGAGCCAAUCUCUAAAAAGCCGCCCCAGUUCGGAUUGCAGGCUGAAACCCGCCUGCAUGAAGCCGGAAUCGCUAGUAAUCGCGUCUCAGGAUGACGCGGUGAAUACGUUCUCAGCCUUUGUACUCACUGCCUGUCAGCCCAGAGGAGUCUCCUAUACUUGAAGGCCUCAGACGAGGCUUAAAGUAUGGGGGAUGACUAGGGGUAAGUCAUAACAAGGCACCGCUAGGGGAACCUGGCGGU
rnacentral:rRNA from 1 species